UACGUAGGGUGCGAGCGUUAAUCGGAAUUACUGGGCGUAAAGCGUGCGCAGGCGGUUUUGUAAGUCAGAUGUGAAAUCCCCGGGCUUAACCUGGGAACUGCGUUUGAAACUACAAGGCUAGAGUGUAGCAGAGGGGGGUGGAAUUCCACGUGUAGCAGUGAAAUGCGUAGAGAUGUGGAGGAACACCGAUGGCGAAGGCAGCCCCCUGGGUUAACACUGACGCUCAGGCACGAAAGCGUGGGGAGCAAACAGG
rnacentral:rRNA from 1 species